UCAAUAAAAAUAAAAACAAAGCAUAGUUAUAGUUGGGUAGAGAAACAAAACAGAGGAGCAAAACCGGAGGAAGAAGUCAGCAGAAGAAGAAAAAGAUGAUCUAUCGGAGGUGGAGUCUCCUUACGGGUCCGACGGCUCUCGUCGCUGGUGUAGUGGCCACCGUCGCCGUCGCCAACUUCGUAUUGGUCAAGAAUGACCCAUUUACCAAACCAGACGAGAGGAAGUUUGGAGACCAACCUGCAACCAAGUAGUAGGAAAGACUUCACAGUGGUUUGUGUUUUGAUGUAAUCUAAACAAUUGGUUUAUGAGCCUUGUAUGCCUCUUUGCAAGACAUGCUUGCCAGUUAAUAAAUUAUGAGGGGUCAAAUGAAGUCUAGACUCUGGAGUAUGGACCCUAGUUUAGAACCCACCCACAAAAGUUCUAGAGAACUGGUUCACAUAUCAGAGAUCCUUACUUUUUUUUUUUUGUACAAUUGUCACAUGGAGGAAAUGUGUAAUAAUCUUCCAUUUCAUAUCUUUUAUCCUUAUCAAUUUUCUGUUAAAAGUUUGCUUUGCUUUUCUGAUUUAUUUA